AAAUAAAUGUAAAAGUCUCUGGCUCCACAAGCACCGACAAUCACACACAUAGAGCCGGAAAGGCAUGGCUUGACAGCUAGCAAGAGGGUGGGAUUAGUGACUCUAGACAAGAGGAGCAAGGGAACUGUUCUGCCCUUGGCUCUUCCACUCUUCUGCCCUGUGGGGACACAGUUGCCCUUUACACCCCUCUUGCUUUGCAAAGAUGCAGCAGGAAGUCACCCACACAGCUGUCAGGACCUUGAUCUUGGACUUCUCAGCCUCCUAAACCGAAAGUAGGCCCAAGGAAACAGGGUGAAGAUGGUGCUGAGUAUUUGAAGGCCCAAGGUGGACCAGCUCCAUGAAGAUCGACAUGUGUAGGAGCCACCUUUUCACCUCACAUGAGGAAGAGACGUUCUAACCAUACAAGGUGUCCAAGGAACCCUUCUCUUUGGAAUCUGAUUGAAGCAAGAGCCCA
ensembl:lncRNA